UACGUAGGGUGCGAGCGUUGUCCGGAAUUAUUGGGCGUAAAGGGCUCGUAGGCGGUUUGUCGCGUCGGGAGUGAAAACCCAGGGCUUAACCCUGGGCUGGCUUCCGAUACGGGCAGACUAGAGGUAUGCAGGGGAGAACGGAAUUCCUGGUGUAGCGGUGAAAUGCGCAGAUAUCAGGAGGAACACCGGUGGCGAAGGCGGUUCUCUGGGCAUUACCUGACGCUGAGGUGCGAAAGCGUGGGGAGCAAACAGG
rnacentral:rRNA from 1 species